rnacentral:tRNA from 2 species
GCGCCCGUAGCUCAGCCGGAUAGAGCAGCCGCCUUCUAAGCGGUAGGUCGGGGGUUCGAGUCCUCCCGGGCGCGCCA